CACGUAGGGCGCAAGCGUUGUUCGGAAUCAUUGGGCGUAAAGGGUGUGUAGGCGGCCAAGUAAGUCAGUUGUGAAAGCCCCGGGCUCAACCCGGGAAGUGCUUCUGAUACUGCUUGGCUUGAGUAUUGGAGAGGUGAGUGGAAUUCCAGGUGUAGUGGUGAAAUACGUAGAUAUCUGGAGGAACACCGGCGGCGAAGGCGGCUCACUGGCCAUAUACUGACGCUGAAACACGAAAGCGUGGGUAGCAAACAGG
rnacentral:rRNA from 1 species